rnacentral:rRNA from 1 species
AAAUUGAAGAGUUUGAUCAUGGCUCAGAUUGAACGCUGGCGGCAGGCCUAACACAUGCAAGUCGAACGGUAACAGGAAGCAGCUUGCUGCUUCGCUGACGAGUGGCGGACGGGUGAGUAAUGUCUGGGAAACUGCCUGAUGGAGGGGGAUAACUACUGGAAACGGUAGCUAAUACCGCAUAACGUCGCAAGACCAAAGAGGGGGAUCUUCGGGCCUCUUGCCAUCGGAUGUGCCCAGAUGGGAUUAGCUUGUUGGUGGGGUAACGGCUCACC